rnacentral:rRNA from 1 species
CCUACGGGAGGCAGCAGUAAGGAAUAUUGGUCAAUGGACGAAAGUCUGAACCAGCCAUGCCGCGUGAAGGAUGAAGGUCCUCUGGAUUGUAAACUUCUUUUAUCUGGGACGAAAAAAGGGCAUUCUUGCUCACUUGACGGUACCAGAGGAAUAAGCACCGGCUAACUCCGUGCCAGCAGCCGCGGUAAUACGGAGGGUGCAAGCGUUAUCCGGAUUCACUGGGUUUAAAGGGUGCGUAGGUGGGUUGGUAAGUCAGUGGUGAAAUCUCCGAGCUUAACUCGGAAACUGCCAUUGAUACUAUCAGUCUUGAAUUUUCUGGAGGUAAGCGGGAAUAUGUCAUGUAGCGGUGAAAUGCUUAGAUAUGACAUAGAACACCCAUUGCGAAGGCAGCUUACUACGGGAUAAUUGACACUGAGGCACGAAAGCGUGGGGAUCAAACAGGAUUAGAUACCCUGGCAGUCCACGCCCUAAACGAUGGAUACUCGACAUCAGCGAUACACUGUUGGUGUNUGNGNGAAGAGAUAGUAGUCCGACCGUCGGUAGUACGACGACGAGUUAGUUAAGUUAAGUUAAGUUAGNGNGNGAGACGNGCGACGGACGACGACGAGGGAGGAGG